UAGAGCGGUCUGCCGCUGUCACACGCUCAGUGUGGGGGAGGAAAGUCCGGGCAACAUAGGGUACCAUACUUCCUAACGGGAAGACGGCGUGAGCCGUUGGGUAGGUAACAGAGAAUAACCGCUUCGUAAGGGACGUGUUCCCUAUUGGAAGCAAGGGUGAAAAGGCGGGGUAAGAGCCCACCGGAGCCUGUGGUAACACAGACUGCCGUACCACCAAUGGGUUGCAAGAUCAUGUAUACCGGCUAUUUUAGGGCGACCCGUCCGAUGCCGGGGGGUAGAUUGCUAAAGUGACGCGGUGACGCGCCACGCAGAUAAAUGGCAGACGGCGCAUUAGCGCUACAGAACCCGGCUUACAGCUCUACU
rnacentral:RNase_P_RNA from 1 species